UUUCACGAUGUUGUAUUUGAUUUUACUGAGGGAUAUGUUUCUUAGACAACACUAAUGUGAGGGAGAACAAAUGAACACACUAGAAAUAAUAUCUUUAUUUUAGCUAACUGUGAGGAACUAGAGCUUCCUCAAAGGACUCAUGCUUUCCGUUUUUGUCAUCAACAGGAUCUAAAUCCAAUACUUCACUGAGCAAGAACGUGGGCUCUUCAAUCCUGUAACUGGGAGCGCUGUGAGAGUGAUUUUGUCAGCUGCGUGGCUCUGAAGUAUCACUUUCAACUGAAGCAGUUGGAAAAGUUCACUGUGAAAAAUGUGGCCAAGAAGUCCUGAGGGAGAAGCUCCAAGAUCACAGUAAGGCAUUGUGGAUUGUUUCCAAGAACAGGAAAAAGAGAAGAAAGAGAAUGGAACCAGGCUGUGGCUUGGGACUUCAGGUGGAGGAGGUGGAGGAUAAUCCUGCAGAGCCGCAUUUAAGGAGGAAGCUGGGAACCCAAGACUAAGUUCAAAGACAACAUAGUCAGAAACACAAUUCUGGAGGCCUCCAUUCAGAAGUGGGACCGUGUCAAGGGUCCAGAGACUCUCCUGAGCUAAGACAGGAAAGUUUUCCAAGAUGUCCUGGUUAUGUGUGGGCUUUCAUGCUGUCCUUAUCUACCCCCAGGCGAUGAAGCAGGGACAACAGACAUAAGGAGACAGGUUUGGCUCUGUGAUUCAUCAGAAAUAAGAAAAACAAACACUGUAAAUGGAGAACUUGAAAAACAGGCUUCAGAAUAAAUAUAUUAACCAGCUUCAGUCAACGUCUGCCUAGAAUCUGACCUUGACAAGACCCAGUGACUAGUGCUGCUCCCAGCCUUUCCCGCAAACAGCAGGCGAUUUUCUCUGUGGCAAAGCUACCUCAAAACAGGCAUCCCGGCUUCCCUCCCACGAAGUGAAGGUAAGCAGAGGCCUAUCAUGUUUCCUCUGAGUGCUGGCUGCAGGACGCCCCCACCCGCCUCCCGCCUCGCGAAAGCCCGAGGGCAGUCUGGAGACACCAGCUUGUUUUUACAUGGUAGAGUCAUCCAUAGCUAGAUACAAACACACAUCUAUUACCCACCAGGGGUACUGAAUUGCUGUGUUGGCUGCAGAAACAGUCCAGGUCUGUGGGCAAUUCCCAUUAUGUGUAGACACAAGCGGAAGCAU
rnacentral:lncRNA from 1 species